AUUGAACGCUGGCGGCAUGCCUUACACAUGCAAGUCGAACGGCAGCACGGGAGCUUGCUCCUGGUGGCGAGUGGCGAACGGGUGAGUAAUGCAUCGGAACGUACCUUUCAGUGGGGGAUAACGUAGCGAAAGUUACGCUAAUACCGCAUAUUCUGUGAGCAGGAAAGCAGGGGAUCGCAAGACCUUGCGCUGAUUGAGCGGCCGAUGUCAGAUUAGCUAGUUGGUGAGGUAAAGGCUCACCAAGGCGACGAUCUGUAGCGGGUCUGAGAGGAUGAUCCGCCACACUGGAACUGAGACACGGUCCAGACUCCUACGGAGGCAGCAGUGGGGAAUUUUGGACAAUGGGGGCAACCCUGAUCCAGCCAUGCCGCGUGAGUGAAGAAGG
rnacentral:rRNA from 1 species